GACGAACGCUGGCGGCGUGCCUAAUACAUGCAAGUCGAACGCAGUGGGGACGAGUGAGUGACACGUGGGUAACGGCCCCUCAGAGGGGAUAACAGUUGGAAACAGGUGCUAAACCGAUAUUGAUGGAUGGACGAGGGGUGCAUUAGCUAGUUGGUGGGGUAACGGCUCACCAAGACCACGAUGCAUAACCGGCCUGAGAGGGUGAGCAGCCACACUGGGACUGAGACACGGCCCAGACUCCUACGGGAGGCAGCAGUGGUGAAUAUUGGGCAAUGGACGAAAGCCUGACCCAGCAACGCCGCGUGAGUGAAGAAGGUUUUCGGAUCGUAAAACUCUGUAAGUAGAGAGGCGGUAUCUACCCAGAAAGCAACGGCUAACUACGUGCCAGCAGCCGCGGUAAUAC
rnacentral:rRNA from 1 species